UGUGUAUAUGGCAUAUAUUGAGGUGAUCCAGUGUUCACCUCAAAAAAAAUCAUUAAAGUAUCAGGGGGCUCUUCAUUUUUAAAUGCAAGAGGAGGAUCCACAGAUGCAUCACUCUUCAUGGAGACAUAACUGUUGUGCAAGUGAUGAAAAGCAGAGAGAGUCCCGGUAUCUGUUUCAGGUUCUAGGUGUUUCCUGGUUCAGACUCCGAAUGGCCUGCAGGAAGAAGCUCCUCCUCAUUCUCUCUGUGUUUGCCUUCAUGGAGCGGAAGCGCUUCCCUGAAUGCAACAGAAAAAAGAGUCCAUCGUUGGGAUGGCUGAGGUCCUUCACAAUCUUCCUGGCCCUGAUCCGGCACCGCUUGCUGUAGAUGUCCUGUAGGUCAGGGAGCUUGGUGUGGAUGGUCUGGAUACUGUGAAGCAUGCAGUGUACCCAGGACCAGUCUAAAGCAAGCAAUCCAGGAUGUCAACACUCUGAUAGAGGACAAUUUUACAGCUCUGACCCUCAGUGCACAAGAGAUGUGUUAGCAGGGUGGAAAUACACAUUGUUGCUGGCCACAAUGGCAUCUGAGCACAUGUGGAGCAGUUAGUGUUUACAGAUAUAUUCCACUCAAAACUUCCAUCUAGUGCCAUGUACCCCCAUCAUCACCAAGUACUUUGAAAGACUGGUCUUCUCUUCAUCUGAAAUUGUGGCUUCAGCCAUCACUGGUUCCCAAUA